rnacentral:sRNA from 1 species
GUGACUGUCCUGGAACUUGAAAUCCCCAUUAUUCAUAGAACAGAUACAGGAUGGACAGCAGAAGUGCAGGCUUCCCUCACACGGCCCCAACCCUGCCCUGGAAGUGAGGCCCAGCUGCUGGGAAAAGAGGAUUGUCCACUGUAGUUUUCAUGCCCAUAAAAUUUUUGGCCUUU